GGUUUAGCUGAGUGGCACAGCACCUGCCUGGCAAGCAUGGGGUCCUGAGUUAGAUUCCCGGUACCA
rnacentral:tRNA from 1 species